ACAGAGGGUGCAAGCGUUAAUCGGAAUUACUGGGCGUAAAGCGUGCGCAGACGGUUAUGUAAGUCGGGUGUGAAAGCCCCGGGCUCAACCUGGGAAUUGCAUUCGAGACUGUGUAGCUAGGGUGCGGAAGAGGGAAGCGGAAUUUCCGGUGUAGCGGUGAAAUGCGUAGAUAUGACCCGGAACACCAAUUGCGAAGGCAGCAUGCUAAACAAAGAUUGACGCUGAGGCUCGAAAGCGUGGGGAUCAAACAGGA
rnacentral:rRNA from 1 species